rnacentral:lncRNA from 1 species
UAUGCUUUUUUAUGAAGGUAAUUCAUAUAUUCUAAUAGUAACUAAUGGUCAAAGUUAUAUCUUGGCGAACAGGCCAUUGUCCAAAACGACAUUUUUUUACAAGACCGUGGGGAUAUUUAAUUUAUUUUUAUAUUUAAAUUUUGGACUUUUUUAAUAUUUGUCCUAGUUAAUUUUAUUUUAUUUUUCUUUCCCAUAAUUUGAAUAUUUUCUUAAUUUUCUUAAUACUGACAAUCCUGGUUUUUAUCUUUUGUUGAUUGUGGAAAUUUGCCAUCGAAAGUUAAGUGUCGAUUUUUUUUCUCCAGCGUCAACCAGUUGAGAAGCUAAAAUUCCCAUACACACCCCCCACCCCCUCCCUUUUUCUAUUCUCAGAAGGUACAUUGAGCUUGAAAUUCCAAGUCCACGAUUCAUGGCUGUGGUACAUGCAAGUUAUUCAAUUUGCGGUACAUACGCUUGCACUAAUCAUCCAAGAAGUAAGAAUAGGUUGGAGUUUGGGUUGUCUAUUCAUCAUUGUUUCGCUGUGUGCAUCGAUUGAUGCAGAGACCGGGGAUCUUUUCACCUUUUUGAAAAAAUUGUUUCGCUAUGAGAUGAUGAUGGUUGGAUGUUAAUUCAUAGGCUUAAAAAUAUACAAGUCUUUGACCAAGAAUUACUCUAUUAGUACGUGGCUUUUAAGAUAUGAAAUCACAGCUAUAUGCAGGUACUUUUGAUCUAGGAAACAAACUUUAUGUCAUAUAAACUACAUAGUAUUUUUUUUUGUCAAAAACUUAUCUUAACGAAAUUCAUAUGUCUUAUGGUACGGUGGGAAUAGGGGAGAGUUAGUA